rnacentral:snoRNA from 1 species
UGAUGGUGAUGAGGAUAACUUCUAAGCAUGCCCUUGAAUCUCUCCCAAUCUUGGUAGAGACUUUCUCCAUCUUUUUGUCUGAAACUCAAUAUUUCACUCCAUUGA